GUCUUUUUGGUAUUUAAUAUAAAGUCUAGCCUGCCCACUGAAAAUAGUUUAAAGGGCCGCAGUAUUUUGACUGUGCAAAGGUAGCAUAAUCAUUAGUCUUUUAAUUGAAGGCUGGCAUGAAUGGUUGGAUAAGAUACAAUCUGUGUCAUAGAAAUUAAUAAUUGAAUUUAACUUUUUAGUCAAAAGGCUAAAAUAAAAUUAAAAGACGAGAAGACCCUAUAGAGCUUUAUAUAAUAGUUAUUUAAAUUAUUUAGUUUCUUAAAAUUUAACUUUAAUAUUAUAUUUUGUUGGGGUGACAAUAAAAUUUAUAAAACUUUUAUUUUUAAUUUACAUUAAUUUAUGAUUAAAUGAUCCAGUUUUAUUGAUUAUAAGUUUAAGUUACCUUAGGGAUAACAGCGUAAUUUUUUUUGAGAGUUCUUAUCGACAAAAAAGAUUGCGACCUCGAUGUUGGAUUAAGAGUAAUUUUGGGUGCAGAAGUUCAAAAUUUAAGUCUGUUCGACUUUUAAAUUCUUACAU
rnacentral:rRNA from 1 species